rnacentral:lncRNA from 1 species
UCUAAUUAAUAGAUGACUUUGUCAAUUAUUCAUUUGCUCCACGCUCCACAAGACAAGAGCCAAAUGCCCAGGAAAGUAUUGGGGGCUUCAGCAGCUGGAAGAACAGGGUCUUCACCCAUGGUUUCCUGAUUCCCAGUCUGCGGUCUCUUCCACAGCACCACUGGAAUUAUUUUGUUUCUUGCUCAAGAAAUUUUCACCAAC